UUGACAGAGGGCUUUCUCUUUUUUUUUCCCCCCGACCGGAUCAUAAUGGGAUUAUUAGACUCGGAGAAAUAACCCCAGCCUUCAAGGCUUUUCAGAUUUUGCUUUCAGAAGUGUGCCAUUAUCGUGUAUAUUAUUCUUACGUUAUAGUUUUUUUUAUUUCUGAGAGAGCAAAUAAAUAAACAAAAGAUUACUAACACCCUCUGUAGUGUAGCCUGUUUAUAAUUCAGCAGUAAAUAUAUAACCUAUAAUGUCAUAUAUAUAUCAAAAUAUUACGUCUAUUUAUGUCUACAUUAUAUAUCUUUUAAUUGAUCACAUAUGGCGUCUAGUCUAUCAAGGAGAACAUCGCCCCUCCGAUUGAGCAAGACAUUGCUUCAGGAACACUCCUGAAUUUGAUAUUCUUUAACCCAUGGAGUGUCAUCAUCACAUCGCUGAAGGAGCCCAGUAUUUACCCUGCAGGAGCACAGAGUCCCCCAGCCACUCUAGACACACACACGUCCAGACACAGGGAGCCGCUGCCCGCGUCACAACGCUCACGCAGACGUCUCCCGCGGCUACGUCAUGGAUGAGGAUGAGGCGUCACGCGUCGUGUGUGGAGGCUACCGACGCGUUUCGGUAAUCACUCCCAUGGAGCCGUUGACAAGAGGCCAGCUCUCUGAAGACGAGAGGCUGGAGGUCCAGAGGUCGAGGUAGUUCCGGCGUGCGUCACGACGCGCUGCCGCAGACGGCGAGGCAGAGAGAGAACGUAUUCGUGUCAACGUUCAAUGGGAAUUUAAUGAUCUAGGGUGAAACACACCCUUUGUUUACACUUACUUGAUUGAAUGUAGUACCUGAAUUGGAGAUACUACACAAACCCUUUCUAAUCUGUGGUUACUGUGUGCGUGUGUGUGUGUGUGUACGUGUCUGUGUGUGUGUCUGUGGGCGUCGGCCUGUUUGAGUGUGUGUGUGUGUGUGUGUGUGUGUGUGUGUGUGUGUGUGUGUGUGUGUGUGUGUGUGUGUGUGUACGUGUGAUUAUGUGCCUGUGUGCGUGUAUAUGGGCCUGUGUGUGUGUGUGUGUGUGUCUGUGUGUGUGUGUGUGUGCGCGUGUGUGUCUGGGUGCAUGCGUGUGCUUGUCUGUGUGUGUGUUUGUACAAGGGGAGAAAGUAAUCAUGUCUUUUAUACACUGAGCUUGAUCUCUGCUGUUGAAACCUCCUCCUGUUUAAACAUACGUGAAUACCCAAUUCCUGAAUAGUCUAGUAAUGUGGAUCCUGGUGUCUGACUAAAGUCUAGAUUCCCAGGGGUUUGGAACAUAACAUGACAAAAAGAGAGUUUCCAAAAUAAAAGUUUGUGUAAGAUAUUGAUUAUAAUAGGCUACAUUCACACAGAUGAUUUAUAUUGUCUGUUUUGGGGACUGAUUCUCACUCUGUUUUUUUCGGUUGCCUCAUGUUGCUAGAAGCUGAGGAGAUGUACAGAGUAAAGACUUUAACUCUG